rnacentral:lncRNA from 1 species
CGGGGACUGUACCAGGCUCCUGGCCCUUCCAUGUGGGCUUCUCCCCCAUCUCUCCUUCUUGGAUGCCAUGAGUUGAGCAGCUUUCCUCUGCUACACUUUGCAACAUGAUGUUUUUGCCCUGCAAGCAGCCAACCAUGGACUGAAACACCUGGAACCGAAUUCUGAACAAUUACAUAAACUUGUGAAAAGAUUCAAAUGCCACCGCCACCCACAAUACCAGCACUGAAUUCUGUGCUUCAUAUGAUUACAAGAAAGGCUUUGAUAGAUUUUGAAAAAGUUGUCUUUGCUCUCCUGCAGAAUAAAAAUGUUCUAAGAAAAAGAUUAAGCCUCAAAAUCAAGAGUUAAGGGAUCACAAGAAGGUAUUUGCACAUUGCUGGUUGAAGAAAAAGUUAAGCGAACAAGGAGUAUACGAACUCAGUUUCAAGCCCCGC